rnacentral:rRNA from 1 species
CCUACGUGUGGCAGCAGUGAGGAAUAUUGGUCCAUGUUCGGGAGACUGAACCAGCCAAGCCGCGUUAGGGAGGAAGGUACAGAGUCUCGUACACCUCUUUUGUCAGGGAACAAAGGCGGGGACGUGUCCCCGGAUGAGUGUACCUGAAGAACAAGCAUCGGCUAACUCCGUGCCAGCAGCCGCGGUAAUACGGAGGAUGCGAGCGUUAUCCGGAUUUGUUGGGGUUAAAGGGUGCGUAGGCGGGAUGUUAAGUCAGCGGUUAAAGGCCGGGGCUCAACCCCGGGCGUGCCUUUGAACCUGGCUGACUGGAGAUGUCGAGAGGUAUGCGGAAUGCGCAGUGUAGCGGUGAAAUGCUUAGAGAU